GUAGGGGGCAAGCGUUAUCCGGAUUUACUGGGUGUAAAGGGAGCGUAGACGGCACGGCAAGCCAGAUGUGAAAGCCCGGGGCUCAACCCCGGGACUGCAUUUGGAACUGCUGAGCUAGAGUGUCGGAGAGGCAAGUGGAAUUCCUAGUGUAGCGGUGAAAUGCGUAGAUAUUAGGAAGAACACCAGUGGCGAAGGCGGCUUGCUGGACGAUGACUGACGUUGAGGCUCGAAAGCGUGGGGAGCAAACAGGAUUAGAUACCCUGGUAGUCCACGCCGUAAACGAUGACUACUAGGUGUCGGGGUACAAAGUACUUCGGUGCCGCAGCCAACGCAAUAAGUAGUCCACCUGGGGAGUACGUUCGCAAGAAUGAAACUCAAAGGAAUUGACGG
rnacentral:rRNA from 1 species